AAUGAACGUUGGCGGCGUGGAUUAGGCAUGCAAGUCGUGCGCGAACUGUAGCAAUACAGGGAAAGCGGCGUAAGGGAGAGUAAUACGUAGGUAUCUACCCAUGGGUCUGGGAUAGCGGCGGGAAACUGCCGGUAAUACCAGAUAACGUCUCCGGACCAAAGGUGUGAUUUCACCUGUGGAGGAGCCUACGGCCUAUUAGCUAGUUGGCAGGGUAACGGCCUACCAAGGCUUGGAUGGGUACGGGGUGUGAGAGCAUGCCCCCGCUCACUGGGACUGAGACACUGCCCAGACACCUACGGGUGGCUGCAGUCGAGAAUCUUCGGCAAUGGGCGCAAGCCUGACCGAGCGACGCCGCGUGCGGGAUGAAGGCCUUCGGUUGUAACCGCUGUCGUAGGGAGUGAAACGCUAGUGAGUUAUCUCAUUAGUUUGACUGAACCUAGGAGGAAGGGACCGGCUAAUCUCGUG
rnacentral:rRNA from 1 species